GACAGAGGUGCCGAGCGUUAGGCGGAAUCACUGGGCUUAAAGAGCGCGUAGGCGGCGCUGUACGACCGCUGUGAAAGCCCCCGGCUCAACUGGGGAGGGUCAGCGGUAACGGCAGUGCUACGAGUGCAGGAGAGGGAAGUGGAACUCCGGGAGUAGCGGUGAAAUGCGUAGAUACCCGGAGGAACACCAGUGGCGAAGGCGGCUUCCUGGUCUGCGACUGACGCUGUGGCGGCGGAAAGCUGAAGGGAGCAAACAGGGGGAUUAAG
rnacentral:rRNA from 1 species